rnacentral:misc_RNA from 1 species
CCAAUAGCGUAUAUUAAAGUUGUUGCAGUUAAAAAGCUCGUAGUUGAAUUUCGGGAUCAAAUUGUUGGUCGUGCUUCGGUACGCACUGGCAUUAUUGGUUCCUACCUUCUGAAGAACCGCGAUGUCAUUAAUUUGGUGUCGUGGGGAAUCAGGACUGUUACUUUGAAAAAAUUAGAGUGUUUAAAGCAGGCUUACGCUUGAAUACAUUAGCAUGGAAUAAUGAAAUAGGACGUUUGAUUCUAUUUUGUUGGUUUCUAGGAUCGACGUAAUGAUUAAUAGGGAUAGUUGGGGGCAUUAGUAUUCAAUUGUCAGAGGUGAAAUUCUUGGAUUUAUUGAAGACUAACUUCUGCGAAAGCAUUUGCCAAGGAUGUUUUCAUUAAUCAAGAACGAAAGUUAGGGGAUCGAAGACGAUCAGAUACCGUCGUAGUCUUAACCGUAAACGAUGCCAACUAGCGAUCUGUGGGGGUUAAAUUAAUGACUCCACAGGAAGCUUCCG